rfam:Oryza glumipatula chromosome 3, whole genome shotgun sequence.
CCUCCGUUCCAAAAUAAGUUCUGCGCCCAACUUUAACCAUUCAUCUUAUUUAAUAUUUUUUUUUAAAAAAAUUAAAAACAUAAGUCAUGAGUAAGGUACUAUUCAUGUUUUAUCAUCUUAUAUCAAUAAAAAUGCUAAUUAUAAAAAAAUUUCGAAUAAGACGAACUAUCAAAGUUGGACGCGGAAAGUCAUGGCUACACUUAUU